rnacentral:tmRNA from 1 species
GGGGAUGAUCGGCUUUGACAAAUAUUUAACGUUGAAAUAGGCAAGCCGAGGUGAAGUCUCGCCUGCCUCGCCUUAUUUAGGCGGGGUAAUCCUUCAAAACACAAUAAGUGCAAACUUAUUCGGCAAAGCAAAAGCUCCGGCUUUUGCGCCAGCUUUCGCCUAAUUUGGCUUAAGCCGUUUCUCUGGCUAAUUCUCGGCCGGCCAAAAGAAAUGUCAUAUCUUCCGAGAUAGAUGAUUUUCUUCGGCUUAAGGAAAAUCAUUGAAAAUUUAUUAAGCCGAAAUCAAGAAUGUUUUGCCUGAUUCAUAAUUCUUGAUUCAUCAUUCCAAUCGGGCUAAGCUUGUAGAAUAUUUUAACAUUAAUGUUUGGACAAGGGUUCAAUUCCCUUCAUCUCCACAA